rnacentral:rRNA from 1 species
CCUACGGGAGGCAGCAGUAAGGAAUAUUGGUCAAUGGACGAAAGUCUGAACCAGCCAUGCCGCGUGAAGGAUGAAGGUCCUCUGGAUUGUAAACUUCUUUUAUUUGGGACGAAAAAAGGGUUAUCUAACUCACUUGACGGUACCAGAUGAAUAAGCACCGGCUAACUCCGUGCCAGCAGCCGCGGUAAUACGGAGGGUGCAAGCGUUAUCCGGAUUCACUGGGUUUAAAGGGUGCGUAGGCGGGUAGGUAAGUCAGCGGUGAAAUCCCCGAGCUUAACUUGGGAACUGCCGUUGAUACUAUUUAUCUUGAAUGUUGUGGAGGUUAGCGGAAUAUGUCAUGUAGCGGUGAAAUGCUUAGAUAUGACAUAGAACACCCAUUGCGAAGGCAGCUAACUACGCAAAUAUUGACGCUGAGGCACGAAAGCGUGGGGAUCGAAACAGGAUUAGAUACCCUGGUAGUCCACGCCCUAAACGAUGAUUACUCGACAUUGGCGAUACACAGUCNGUGUCUGAGCGAAGACGAUUAAGUAAGUACCGACCGUACGGAAGGUACGACGUCGUCGAAGAAGUUAGUAAACGUUAAAGGUUAAAGUUAGUUACGGCGUUGAGACGNGCCGACGGACGACGACGAGGGAGGAGG